AUACUCCCUUCGGCAGCACAUAAACUAAAACUAGAACGGUACAGAGAAUACUAUCACAGCCCCUGAGCAAGGAUGACACACAAAUUCGUGAGGCGUUCCUUAUUUUG
rnacentral:snRNA from 1 species